rnacentral:rRNA from 1 species
UGGGGAAUAUUGCACAAUGGGGGAAAAACCCUGAUGCAGCGACGCCGCGUGAAGGAAGAAGUAUCUCGGUAUGUAAACUUCUAUCAGCAGGGAAGAAAAUGACGGUACCUGACUAAGAAGCCCCGGCUAACUACGUGCC